AGGGAAUCUUCGGCAAUGGACGAAAGUCUGACCGAGCAACGCCGCGUGAGUGAAGAAGGUUUUCGGAUCGUAAAACUCUGUUGUUAGAGAAGAACAAGGACGUUAGUAACUGAACGUCCCCUGACGGUAUCUAACCAGAAAGCCACGGCUAACUACGUGCCAGCAGCCGAGGUAAUACGUAGGUGGCAAGCGUUGUCCGGAUUUAUUGGGCGUAAAGCGAGCGCAGGCGGUUUCUUAAGUCUGAUGUGAAAGCCCCUGGCUCAACCGGGGAGGGUCAUUGGAAACUGGGAGACUUGAGUGCAGAAGAGGAGAGUGGAAUUCCAUGUGUAGCGGUGAAAUGCGUAGAUAUGUGGAGGAACACCAGUGGCGAAGGCGGCUCUCUGGUCUGUAACUGACGCUGAGGCUCGAAAGCGUGGGGAGCAAACAGG
rnacentral:rRNA from 1 species